rnacentral:rRNA from 1 species
GAUGAACGCUGGCGGCGUGCUUAACACAUGCAAGUCGAACGGAAAGGCUCCUGCUUGCAGGGGUACUCGAGUGGCGAACGGGUGAGUAACACGUGGGUGAUCUGCCCUGCACUUCGGGAUAAGCUUGGGAAACUGGGUCUAAUACCGGAUAGGACCGCAUGUUGGAUGGUGGGGUGGAAAGUUUUUUCGGUGUGGGAUGAGCUCGCGGCCUAUCAGCUUGUUGGUGGGGUAAUGGCCUACCAAGGCGUCGACGGGUAGCCGGCCUGAGAGGGUGUCCGGCCACAUUGGGACUGAGAUACGGCCCAGACUCCUACGGGAGGCAGCAGUGGGGAAUAUUGCACAAUGGGCGCAAGCCUGAUGCAGCGACGCCGCGUGGGGGAUGACGGCCUUCGGGUUGUAAACUCCUUUCGCUAGGGACGAAGAGUAAUUGACGGUACCUGGAGAAGAAGCACCGGCUAACUACGUG